CGGAGGGGGCAAGCGUUGUUCGGAUUUACUGGGCGUAAAGGGUGUGUAGGCGGUUGCGCAAGUCUGGUGUGAAAUCUUCACCGCUUAACGGGAAGAGGUCACUGGAAACUGCGUAACUCGAGUAUGGUAGAGGCAAGCGGAAUUCCUGGUGUAGCGGUGGAAUGUGUAGAUAUCAGGAAGAACAUCUGUGGCGAAGGCGGCUUGCUGGGCCAUCACUGACGCUGAGACACGAAAGCGUGGGGAGCAAACGGGAUUAGAUACCCCGGUAGUCCACGCUGUAAACGGUGCGCACUAGGUGUGGGAGGUAUCGACCCCUUCUGUGCCGCAGUCAACACAUUAAGUGCGCCGCCUGGGGAGUACGGCCGCAAGGUUG
rnacentral:rRNA from 1 species